GGAAUGUUCUGGAAUCAGUGGUGAUGGGGGCAGGGGCAAGCCCUGUGACUCCUCUAGAGAACAGACCCAUACACACAGGGCGAACUCUGUGCAAUGUGAAAUCACUCAAUGAAACAGUUACUUAAAAGUCUGUCUUUAGACAAGGCGAGAAGCAUGGAAGGACUUUGAUCAGCCAUGCUGACGCAAUGAGGCACCCAACAGUGGAAGUGUCGUCGGUCUAACAGUGAGGACAGAAAAGACUCUCAUGAGCCCACUGAGCUACAUCCAGGAGCUGACUGAAGCUGGAGGCAGCUGCACAGAAAAGAGUAAGUGCACAGUCAAAAGCUAUUUCCGUGUACUUGGAAUGACUCCCACUGAAUCAGACGGCAAUGGAACCUCUGGAGGCAGCCUGCAAGUCAAAGGGAACCCUGGGGCUUUAUUCAUCAACUCCCUCCCCAGCCUGCUAGGGUAACCAUGGCAACACUGACCUAGGUUGCUUCUGAGACUGUCAGGUUGUAGCAAG